ensembl:lncRNA
AUUCUAGUCAUGAGUGCAUCUGUGUAAGUUGUUAUUGGAAGCCCAUGAUCUAUGCUCAGAGGUUAAAGAGAGCACAGCAGAUAGGUGUACAACUCUGGUGCUGUAGCUGGAAAGGCCGAUAGGAGAAGAUCAUGUCAGAAGUGAGUCCUAGCAAAGCCACGGAAAUACCUGAACAAUUAGUGAAGUUCUGAGGCUGGUUCUAGCAGGGUAAUGAUCCAAAAGAAGGUGGAAAGAAAGCAUAAAGAAGCAAGGACAGAAAGGAGUCCUUAGCAGUUCGCCCUGCAGAUUUCAAGGGCUAUUCUGAGAACACUCACUAGAGCCUUAAGGAAGAGGUGCAUGAUGUCCAGUAUUUCCAUGCUUUGAAUAUCAGUAGGAAGUGCUUGGUUCAAAUGCAGAAUGCAAGGUCAUCUUCCCCUUAUCACGAAUCACAAAUACCACUUACUGUGCUCAGUUUGAAGAUUAGAGCAACCUUAAAUAUCUUGCUCCCGCCAAUGCUCCUCCCUGCCAGCUUACAUUCAAGAGAGAACCAAGAAAGAAAGAAGAACCACCAGAACUGGCCACUGGGCACACAAGAGUCUCCAAGCAAUUACUAAAGAAUGGACAAAUUUCAGUUCCCAGAAGACCAGGAGCCAUGUGUGUUCUCUCUUCAUGGGUAGUUCAGAUAAACAAAUGUAAUGGUUCCAGAGCAAGGAUUUCACAAUGCUAACAACCGUGGACAUCAAAAAAGAACAGCAUUUAUGGUCGGCGACGUCUGGAACGGGAGUGUUAGCUCUUCCACAUCAUUUCCAGGUGGGCACGCUGUGCUCCAACGCACAAUCUCCCCCCAUUGCAUUCCCACUGGGUGUGCUGUGUUCCACUCAGGACCCGACUUUUAUUUAAAAAAAUAAAUAAAUAAAAAAGACCGUCUGCUUGAAGUGACUUUAUUAAUUCAUUUUGCUGUAUUUCUUGACAUGCC